rnacentral:lncRNA from 12 species
AUGCUGAGCAUCAUCUUGUAUCAUCUUCACCUUAACCACAGAAGACACUAACAUCACUGUCUCCUUUCUGCAGGUGAGGAGCUCAAAGCAUAAAGAGAGGAAGUCACUUGUUUCAGCUCUCAGGGUCCAGGAGCCUGUCUGACUCCAGAGGGGACUCAUGCCUGGGCUUCCUGUCUCCAGGGAAUCUGGACAGAGCGGUGGAAAUUUCAGGGCCUUGCUCCCAGAAGACAGUUGAAUGUGCCUAUAGAUCACCUCUCAGGGACAGCCAUUUUUCCCAAGACAGG